GCCGCGUUGGCUCAGUGGUAGAGCGUAUCACUAGUAAUGAUAAGGUCCAAGGUUCGAUCCCUUGACGUGGCA